rnacentral:rRNA from 1 species
GACGAACGCUGGCGGCGUGCUUAACACAUGCAAGUCGAGCGGUAAGGCCCUUUCGGGGGUACACGAGCGGCGAACGGGUGAGUAACACGUGGGUGACCUGCCCUCCAGCUCUGGGAUAAGCCUGGGAAACUGGGUCUAAUACCGGAUAUGACUCCAUGACGCAUGUUGUGGGGUGGAAAGCCUUGUGCGGCUGAGGAUGGGCCCGCGGCCUAUCAGCUUGUUGGUGGGGUGAUGGCCUACCAAGGCGACGACGGGUAGCCGGCCUGAGAGGGCGACCGGCCACACUGGGACUGAGACACGGCCCAGACUCCUACGGGAGGCAGCAGUGGGGAAUCUUGCGCAAUGGGCGAAAGCCUGACGCAGCGACGCCGCGUGAGGGAUGACGGCCUCGGUGUAAC